CUAAAACUCUUUUUUGAUUAAAAAAAUAUAAAAUAGCCUUUUGGGGAAAUCUUAAACAAGAUUAUCUUGGAAAGAUGUAUCAUACCUGUUUGAAAUGGAACAGAAACCGGAAACGAUCUCUCCAGCUUUGGAUGGGGAUGUUCGUUCCCAUUUGCCUAGAAGUCUGCGAUAAAAUGAAUCAUCUGUUCUUGAGCUAUACUUGGUCUUUUUGAUGUUGAAAAUAUUGAUGCAGUGGAAUAUUCUGGUUACAAUGCCUUCUGGUGAGAUCGGAUCUACUUAACAUAUUAUCUAGUUAAAUAUCUAGGAAACUUUCUCUAAAAAAGACCAGACAAUAAUUCAACUUUCUUGUUCUACAAAUUCUUCCAACAUCAAAUGAUUUCAACAACUAUAAUUUGUUUAUUGA